rnacentral:rRNA from 1 species
GAUGAACGCUGGCGGCGUGCCUAAUACAUGCAAGUCGAGCGAACAGACGAGGCGCUUGCUCCUCUGACGUUAGCGGCGGACGGGUGAGUAACGCGUGGAUAACCUACCUAUAAGACUGGGAUAACUUCGGGAAACCGGAGCUAAUACCGGAUAAUAUAUUGCACCGCAUGGUUCAAUAGUGAAAGACGGUUUUGCUGUCACGUAUAGAUGGAUCCGCGCCGCAUGAGCUAGUUGGUAAGGUAACGGCUUACCAAGGCAACGAUGCGUAGCCGACCUGAGAGGGGGAUCGGCCACACUGGAACGUAGACACGGACCAGACUCCUACGGGAGGCAGCAGUAGGGAAUCUUCCGCAAUGGGCGAAAGCCUGACGGAGCAACGCCGCGUGAGUGAUGAAGGUCUUCGGAUCGUAAAACUCUGUUAUUAGGGAAGAACAAAUGUGUAAGUAACUAUGCACGUCUUGACGGUACCUAAUCAGAAAGCCACGGCUAACUACGUG